rnacentral:snRNA from 1 species
GCGCUCGCCUCGGCAGCACACAUACUAAAAUUGUAAAGAUACAGAGGUUAGCAUGACCCCUGCACAAGGAGGGCACGAAAAUUCAUGGAGCAUUCCAUACUAAA